GCCAGGCAAGUGGCAUGUGCCUGUAGUCCCAGAUACUUGGGAGGCUAAGGCUAGGAGGAUCGCUGAAGCCCAGGAGUUCUGGGCUCUAGUGCACUAUCCUGAUCAGAUGUCUGCACUAAGUUCAGCAUCAGUAUGGUGACCUCCUGGGAGUGGGGCACCACCAGGUUGCCUAAGGAGGGAUGAACUGGCCCAGGUCAGAAAUAGAGCAGAUCAAAACUUGAGUGCUGAUCAGUAGUGGGAUCACACCAGUGAGUAGUCACUGCACUCCAGCCUGGGCAACUUAGCAAGACCCCAUCUCUU
ensembl:misc_RNA Metazoa_SRP Metazoan signal recognition particle RNA